rnacentral:lncRNA from 1 species
GCUUUGUAAAGAAUAUUUACUAGCAUGGAACAUCAAUCAAUUAAGACAAACAUUAAAGCUAUAAUAUUUAGGUUUUUGGAUUAAUCAAAGUUAGGUUUCAGUUUUUUUCUAGAGAGUAGGAGUUACUUAAAAUGACAUAAAACUAUAUUACUUUUUUUUGUUUAUUAUGCACAAACAAAAUCCAAGAGGGCUGUAAGAAAGGCAGGUACAGCAUGAACAUUGUGCAAGAAAGGCCUCCUCUGCUGUCAAAUCUUUUCCAGUCUACGAUUUAGAUAAGACGUCCAUGCCGUUGUUUCAACCAUCAAUCUGAAACACAGGAAACAGUAAAAGUCAGUUUUCACACACAUGUUCAUCUUCGAGAAUGGAGAAUCAGCGACCUAUUAAGAUGAACAGAUACUGCUAAGGACAUUUUUAGAGCCAAUGGGACACUCUUUGCUAUAAGAUUCAAUAAAUAGCAGUCUUUUGUAACUUUCUUUGUUGAAGUCCUUCAAUCGCAGGAGUUUUAAUGAAAGUGAAAGUAACGAGAAUGUCUAUUAAGAAACUUAUAUAAACCUCUCUAA